UCUUAAAGGAUUUUUCCAGGUGCACUAGUAAAGUAAGUUAACCAGGUAUAAUAUCCCUAAAGGUAAGAAUGCACAGCUACACGCGUAGUGCAUAAAGGAACACUAUAGGGUCGGGAACACAAACAUGUAUUCCUGACCCUAUCGUGCUAAACCCACUAUUUAGGUGGCUUGCCUCCCCUAUAAAAGUUUAAAACUCACCUUAUUUCCAGUGCCGCCCAGAUCCGCCGGCCCUGGCUCAGCCCCCU